AAAUGAAUAGACGGGGACCCGCACAAGCAGCGGAGCAUGUGGUUUAAUUCGAAGCAACGCGAAGAACCUUACCAGAACUUGACAUCCUUCUGACCGAUACUUAAUCGUAUCUUCUCUUCGGAGCAGAAGUGACAGGUGGUGCAUGGUUGUCGUCAGCUCGUGUCGUGAGAUGUUGGGUUAAGUCCCGCAACGAGCGCAACCCUUGCUAUUAGUUGCCAUCAUUAAGUUGGGCACUCUAAUGGGACUGCCGGGGAAAACUCGGAGGAAGGUGGGGAUGACGUCAAAUCAUCAUGCCCCUUAUGUUCUGGGCUACACACGUGCUACAAUGGCCGGUACAGAAGGCAGCGAAACCGUGAGGUGGAGCGAAUCUCAAAAACCGGUCCCAGUUCGGACUGCAGGCUGCAACCCGCCUGCACGAAGUCGGAGUUGCUAGUAAUCGCGGAUCAGAAUGCCGCGGUGAAUGCGUUCCCGGGUCUUGUACACACCGCCCGU
rnacentral:rRNA from 1 species